rnacentral:rRNA from 1 species
AACGAACGCUGGCGGCAGGCCUAACACAUGCAAGUCGAACGCUCUAGCAAUAGAGAGUGGCAGACGGGUGAGUAACGCGUGGGAACCUUCCCUAUGGUGUGGAAUAACUCGCCGAAAGGCGAGCUAAUACCGCAUAAGCCCGCAAGGGAAAGAUUUAUCGCCAUAGGAUGGGCCCGCGUAGGAUUAGCUAGUUGGUGAGGUAAUGGCUCACCAAGGCGACGAUCCUAGCUGGUUUGAGAGAAUGACCAGCCACACUGGGACUGAGACACGGCCCAGACUCCUACGGGAGGCAGCAGUGGGGAAGUCUUGGACAAUGGGCGGCAAGCCUGAUCCAGCCAUGCCGCGUGAGUGACGAAGGCC